UCUCGUCAUUCAUCUAAUCUUGCCAUUCGAUUUCUAUGGUAUUUCUCUCCGUUUGAACUGAGUAUCGGCUCCUACGGGUUACUCUGCCUUCUACUGUGAUGGAGAAUGCCUCUACCCUCUGGGUUCCUGCAUGAACUCCACCACCCACACUAUGAUCCAACUAGUGGUUCACCUUCUGAAGCCGGAUGAGGUUCCCAAAGCAUGCUGCGCACCCACCAAGCUCAGUCCCAUCUCUGUACUCUUCUACGAUGACAACAACAACGUGAUCCUAAAGAAGCAUCGCAACAUGGUGGUCAAGACCUGUGGAUGCCUGUGACACCAGUGGUAGCCCAUCUAUCUAUUCUACAUCAUUUUAAUCAACUUAAUUGCCAUUGUUCCAAAAGAUAAAAACAGGGUAAUAUAACUUGCAACCAGCAGUUGAUAGCAAUAAUAUGUCAAUAUGCUGAUAUAUACUAUGUAUCUAAUAUAUUGAUUUAGAGUCAGAGUGGUAUAUGAACAACACCCAUUGGACUUAUAACCAUACCUCACUUUUGAUUAACUAAACUAUUCAAAUCUACAGUAAUUCAGAUAAUUACAUCACCCCUUCAUGUCAUAUAUUCUGUGACCAAUCAAAGCUGUAAUGUACUGUAUCAUAAGUGCAAUCAAUGCUAAAAUUCUUGUUGAACCAUACAUUUUUUCUCAUUGUCUCUUUUAGAUGUACUAAACAUGGUUUGCAAAACGUACACGUAUUUUUCUUCUUCUUUAAUCAUACUUUUAACCAGUACAAGUUAGUAACAAUGGAAAAUGAUAACAUGAAAAAAAAAAUUGGCCAUUUUUGUAUGUACAGAGGAACAAAUACACAGUGAUGUAUGUCCUUGUCAACAGAUAUCUGGAGGACUGUAUACCGCUAUAUUUGUAAUUUAAAAAACUAUACUGAACAAAAAAACGCAACAUGUAAAAGGUUUGUCCCAUGUUUCAUGAGCUGAAAUUAAAGAUCCCGGAAAUGUUC